AACGAACGCUGGCGGCAUGCCUAACACAUGCAAGUCGAACGAUCCCUUCGGGGAUAGUGGCGCACGGGUGCGUAACGCGUGGGAACCUGCCCUUAGGUUCGGAAUAACUCAGAGAAAUUUGAGCUAAUACCGGAUAAUGUCUUCGGACCAAAGAUUUAUCGCCUUUGGAUGGGCCCGCGUUGGAUUAGCUAGUUGGUGGGGUAAAGGCCUACCAAGGCGACGAUCCAUAGCUGGUCUGAGAGGAUGAUCAGCCACACUGGGACUGAGACACGGCCCAGACUCCUACGGGAGGCAGCAGUGGGGAAUAUUGGAAAAUGGGCGAAAGCCUGAUCCAGCAAUGCCGCGUGAGUGAUGAAGGCCUUAGGGCUGUAAAGCUCUUUUACCCGGGAUGAUAAUGACAGUACCGGGAGAAUAAGCCCCGGCUAACUCCGUG
rnacentral:rRNA from 1 species